rnacentral:lncRNA from 1 species
ACCUACAUGUGGAACAAUGUUUUCACAGAAAAGCAUCUUUUAUCAGUUGAUGAACUUGGAAUUUGUUUAAUUCCACCUGUAUCAAAGAGGCUUGCUUGUGGGGAUUAUGGGAAUGGUGCAAUGGCUGAACCUUCACUCAUCUUCUCAACUGUAAGACUCUUUCUAGAGUCAAAGACACAAUCAGGUGGCAGUAGUAAUCAGUAAUUACUUUGUAUUUAGUGCUAGAGGAGUUGUUGGUUUUUAUUUUGUUCCAAAUGGACUGUUUGUUUGUUUGUUUGUUUUGUUCUUCUUUCUUUGUUUUUAUGGAGGUUGUUUUAAGGAUUGUGAGAAUUGAAUUUAUGUUGUUAAUCCUAGUUUGUGAUUUUGGCUACCACUUAAUUCGGUUGUUUAAUCUACACACACUUAUCCUUCAUUCAGCAUGAUGGAACUUUAUUGAAACAAGUUUGAUACUCCAUGUGAGGCACGGCUAGUUUAUAUGUUUUUUUUAAUAAAUAUUUGAUAAUUUUAUAUUGACAUAUAUUUAUCAUUUUGAAUCAGCAUAUUUUACCACAAUUAAAGAAAAUUUAAUUACUUUUUUAUGGUGCAAGUUAACCGGAAUGUUUUGGUUGGUUCUUGACUAAUGAAAUUAUACUUGAAUUCCACUCUUGUUAGGCAAUUACUCAUUCAUAAGAUAUAUAAUAGAAGUUGCAGACAAUUUAAUGGAGUAGUUAGUAUAUAGGUAAAUCUAUAGUUUUCUCUCUUUAUAGACGACCUGAUAUGUAUUAUACAUUUAUUUAAAUCCUUUUUCAAUUCUUAUUUUUUUAGCCAGGUGUUUUAUUAAAUACUAAAAACAAAUAUAAGUACUAUUCUAUUGUUGGGUAAGAUAAUAUGUAUCACUAUGUUAAUAAAUAACGAUAGAAAUAACAUUAGAAAGUCACUUUAUAUAGAAUCUCUAACUAAUACUUACUUCUAUUUUAAACUAUAAAUACAUUUUUAAUAGUCUGAUAUAAAAAUAGAGAUAAUUUUUUAUUUUAGAAUUAUAAAGUAAUGAGAAAUUUUUAAUUUGUCAAAUUUUUUUGUUAUCAUUUAUACCAUCACUACCAUCACUUAACUAAUACUCCCUCCGUCCCAGGAUAAAAGUUUUGGUGGAUUUUUCACGCAUAUUAAGAAGAGGAAUAAAAUAACAAAAUUAUUCAUAAUAAUGUCAUUAAAUAUGGAGAGAGAAUUAGAAUAAGAAAAGUAUGAGAUAUUUAAUGCUACGGGCAUAAUCGAAAAAAAUGUGUAAAAGUUUGGUUAUUAAAAGAAAGUGGACAUUUAACAUGAAACAACCCAAAAUAGUAAUAAAAACUUUUAUCCUGGGAGAGAGGACUAUUAAUUAUUAAGAAUACAUUUAAUAAUAUAAAUUAUAAAUCCCGUGGCUGACACGACACACACACACACAUCGAACUUGGGUGAUAAAAUGAGGGAGGCGAAAAUGUAUACAUACGCCCACUGCCCAACCAGCACAUGCGCAUGCACAUCAAAAUGUAGUAGAGGAGUGAGUAGUAGUAAUUGCACCUCAAUCAAAAAAUAGUGGAGGUCAUGGCCAAGCAUUGGCUUCAUUUACUAUUACGAAGGUAAAAAAAGUGAAAAUCUUGCUGAUUAUUACUACUAAACUCAAACUGUAACUGCCUAAAUUAAAAGAACAAAUCGACUUCACGGAACUUUAUACUAUUCCCUCCGUCUCAGGAUAAAAGUCCUUAUUAUUUCAUCUGUUCUAAAUUAUCUACUGUUUUAGCAAAAAAAAUUGUCCCACAAUAUCCGCUUUUUCAAAAUUUCAAUAUAUUUUUUCCCUUUAUUUUUCAAGUUUGCCCCUUUACCUUAAUUGUUGAUAGUCAUUACUGUCAUCCUCUCUCCACACAUAUAUAUGCUCAUACUUUCUCUCUUUGCAUACUAUUUGUCUAUUUAAUACACUCAUACUUUCUCUCUCUUCCUCUCUCCACACAUAUAUAUAUGCACUUAUACUUUCUCUCUCUGCAGACUUUUUAUCUAUUUAAUGCACUCAUACUUUCUCUCUCUUCCUCUCUACAGACUAUUUCCUGCACUCUUUUUUAAAUACCUUUUCCAUAUUUCCACCAAUAAGGGUAUUUUAGUAUUUUUAUCACACAUAUUGGUAUCUGUGUGGAACUCUAGAACAACAAAUAAUUUGGGACGGAGAGAGUACUAUUUUGGGUUGUCCCAUGUUAAAUGUCCACUUUCUUUUAAUAACCAAAUUUGUACACAUUUUUUUCUAUUAUACCUGUAGUAUUAAAUAUCUCAUACUUUUCUUAUUUUAAUUCUCUCUUCAUAUUUAAUAACAUUAGUAUAGAUAAUUUUAUCAUUUUAUUUCUCUUCUUAAUAUGCGUAAAAAAUCCAUUAGAAUUUUUAACACAGGCAAUAUUACCAAACCCACCACCGAAAAGCAGGUGGCGAAAGUAGACGCACAUUUAAGACCCUUAACUUAAGGUAUCUCCUCAACUACCUACUUAUUACCUAUACCUAUACCUAUAUCUAUACCUAUACCCAUUUAAUGACAUGACAAUUUAAUUUAAUUUAAUUUAUAGCUCUCCCCACUCCCCUUGGCCUUGGGCACCUUCCCUUCCUUGUUUACUCCGGUACCCACCCUCGGUCAUUCUCAUUGAGGUUUAGUUUAGGUGUGCAAAUUUCCUUUCUACCCCCCAUGACAUACACACAAAUGCCAAAAAAAGAGUUGUUAUUACUCUUCCUGUAAUCCAAGUUUCAAUUGUCAUGGCUAACACUAUAAAAUGAGCAAACAGUUCGGACUUAAUUCGUACUCGUUCGAUUAAAAGUUCAAUUCGAGCUCGACUCGAAAUAUAAAUGACUCAAAUAUGAUCACAUUUUAAAGUUCGAUAAAUUACUCGAACCUCCUCAAAUUAUAAUUUUUUAUUGAUACUCGGAUCAUAUUCGUUGGAAAAAUUCAAACUGCUUGGGCUCGAUUCGUAAUUGUGCUCGACUCGGUAGCUAAAUGAGCCUCAAUCAAACCUUAUUUUAUACUCGAUAAAUUUUGUAAAUCAAAUCUGAACAACUCAAUACUCGAAUCGACUUGAUUGGUUAAUACCCUUAGUCAUGGCCCAAUUCAAAGUAAAUUCCCGUUAGAAUUAACGACAUAUCUGUCAUAUCAAAAGACUUGCAAAUACUAGAAUAUUUAUUUAUGAACAAAAAUCAAGACUACUCGGGUGGGAGCGGGAGCGGGAGUGGGGGUGGUGUAUAAUAAGUACUAUUAAUAUACUACUAGCCCAAGGGCGGGCUUCCAAGCAACAACACAAAAUGUGCACAUUUGUCUCUAUUAUCCUCAUCACCAUUUCCAUCUUCUCUUCUUUUUCUCAUGCUUCUACUGUUAAAGCCCCGCCUCCCUUCAAAAAGAUCUACGCAUUCGGAGACUCCUACACCGACACCGGAAACACACACUCGGCCACCGGCCCCUCCAGUNNNNNNNNNNNNNNNNNNNNNNNNNNNNNNNNNNNNNNNNNNNNNNNNNNNNNNNNNNNNNNNNNNNNNNNNNNNNNNNNNNNNNNNNNNNNNNNNNNNNUGGGGAUUAUGGGAAUGGUGCAAUGGCUGAACCUUCACUCAUCUUCUCAACUGUAAGACUCUUUCUAGAGUCAAAGACACAAUCAGGUGGCAGUAGUAAUCAGUAAUUACUUUGUAUUUAGUGCUAGAGGAGUUGUUGGUUUUUAUUUUGUUCCAAAUGGACUGUUUGUUUGUUUGUUUUUUUCUUCUUCUUUCUUUGUUUUUAUGGAGGUUGUUUUAAGGAUUGUGAGAAUUGAAUUUAUGUUGUUAAUCCUAGUUUGUGAUUUUGGCUACCACUUAAUUCGUUUGUUUAAUCUACACACACUUAUCCUUCAUUCAGCUUGAUGGAACUUUAUUGAAACAAGUUUGAUACUCCAUGUGAGGCACGGCUAGUUUAUAUGUUUUUUUAAUAAAUAUUUGAUAAUUUUAUAUUGACAUAUAUUUAUCAUUUUGAAUCAGCAUAU